rnacentral:rRNA from 1 species
AGCAGCCGCGGUAAUUCCAGCUCCAAUAGCGUAUAUUAAAGUUGUUGCAGUUAAAAAGCUCGUAGUUGAAUUUCGGGAUCAAUUUGCUGGUCGUGCCUCUGGUACGUACUGGUAUUAUUGGUUUCUCCCUUCUGACGAACCAUGAUGUCGUUAAUUUGAUGUCGUGGAGAAUCAGGACUGUUACUUUGAAAAAAUUAGAGUGUUUAAAGCAGGCAUUAGCUUGAAUACAUUAGCAUGGAAUAAUGAAAUAGGACGUUUGAUCCUAUUUUGUUGGUUUCUAGGAUUGACGUAAUGAUUAAUAGGGAUAGUUGGGGGCAUUAGUAUUCAAUUGUCAGAGGUGAAAUUCUUGGAUUUAUUGAAGACUAACUACUGCGAAAGCAUUUGCCAAGGAUGUUUUCAUUAAUCAAGAACGAAAGUUAGGGGAUCGUAAGACGAUCAGAUACCGUCGUAGUCUUAACCAUAAACUAUGCCGACUAGGGAUCGGAUGACGUUAAUUUUUAAUGUACUCAUUCGGCGUACC